rnacentral:rRNA from 1 species
GCUAUCACUUUUGGAUGGUCCCGCGGCGUAUUAGCUAGAUGGUGGGGUAACGGCUCACCAUGGCAAUGAUACGUAGCCGACCUGAGAGGGUAAUCGGCCACAUUGGGACUGAGACACGGCCCAAACUCCUACGGGAGGCAGCAGUAGGGAAUCUUCCACAAUGGACGAAAGUCUGAUGGAGCAACGCCGCGUGAGUGAAGAAGGGUUUCGGCUCGUAAAACUCUGUUGUUAAAGAAGAACAUAUCUGAGAGUAACUGUUCAGGUAUUGACGGUAUUUAACCAGAAAGCCACGGCUAACUACGUGCCAGCAGCCGCGGUAAUACGUAGGUGGCAAGCGUUGUCCGGAUUUAUUGGGCGUAAAGCGAGCGCAGGCGGUUUUUUAAGUCUGAUGUGAAAGCCUUCGGCUCAACCGAAGAAGUGCAUCGGAAACUGGGAAACUUGAGUGCAGAAGAGGACAGUGGAACUCCAUGUGUAGCGGUGAAAUGCGUAGAUAUAUGGAAGAACACCAGUGGCGAAGGCGGCUGUCUGGUCUGUAACUGACGCUGAGGCUCGAAAGUAUGGGUAGCAAACAGGAUUAGAUACCCUGGUAGUCCAUACCGUAAACGAUGAAUGCUAAGUGUUGGAGGGUUUCCGCCCUUCAGUGCUGCAGCUAACGCAUUAAGCAUUCCGCCUGGGGAGUACGGCCGCAAGGCUGAAACUCAAAGGAAUUGACGGGGGCCCGCACAAGCGGUGGAGCAUGUGGUUUAAUUCGAAGCUACGCGAAGAACCUUACCAGGUCUUGACAUACUAUGCAAAUCUAAGAGAUUAGACGUUCCCUUCGGGGACAUGGAUACAGGUGGUGCAUGGUUGUCGUCAGCUCGUGUCGUGAGAUGUUGGGUUAAGUCCCGCAACGAGCGCAACCCUUAUUAUCAGUUGCCAGCAUUAAGUUGGGCACUCUGGUGAGACUGCCGGUGACAAACCGGAGGAAGGUGGGGAUGACGUCAAAUCAUCAUGCCCCUU